GACGUUUGAUCCGUGGCUCGAGGAUGAACGCUGGCGGCGUGCCUAACACAUGCAAGUCGAGCGAAGCGCUUAAGUCAGAAUCUUCGGAGAAGGCUUUGUGACUGAGCGGCGACGGGUGAGGUAACGCGUGGGUAACCUGCCUUACACACGGGGGAUAACAGUUAGAAAUGACUGCUAAUACCGCAUAAGACCACAGUACUGCAUGGUACAGUGGUAAAAACUGAGGUGGUGUAAGAUGGACCCGCGGUCUGAUUAGGUAGUUGGUGGGGUAACGGCCCACCAAGCCGACGAUCAGUAGCCGGCCUGAGAGGGUGGACGGCCACAUUGGGACUGAGACACGGCCCAGACUCCUACGGGAGGCAGCAGUGGGGAAUAUUUCACAAUGGGGGAAACCCUGAUGCAGCGACGCCGCGUGAGCGAUGAAGUAUUUCGGUAUGUAAAGCUCUAUCAGCAGGGAAGAAAAUGACGGUACCUGACUAAGAAGCCCCGGCUAACUACGUG
rnacentral:rRNA from 1 species